ensembl:lncRNA
UAAGCUGGUUAUGAGCUGGUCCCGAGCAGGAGCUAGUUGCACAUGACCAGCUUAAACCAGCUCAUGACCAGCAAAGGACCAACUAAGGACCAACUUAAACCAGAUAUCAUGCUUCAAAACAUACCUAACCAGCAUAUGAUGUUUUUUCCAACAGGGAUCUGUUUUAAAUUUUUUGAACAUCAAUUAAAUUGUUACCCUUAAAUUAGUUUUUGACGUUUUUUUGUAUUUGCUAGUUCAGGGAACAGACACAGUCUCUAUAGUAUGAUAUCUAGGUGAAAAAGUCUUUAUGUGCUAAGAAAUUAACAGACUUCUGUGAAGUGAGGCGGCAAGAGAAGGUCGGUUUAGCCAGUCUGUCUGCUUAUUGACCUGGGCCCCAGUUAGUCAAGUACAAACUCUAUGUGCCAUAUUUCUAAGAGCAGCUUGAGGGAUGAAGAAGACCAUCUCUUUUCAACAGGUCUGCCCCAAAAACUCAUCCAAUUGUCUAUGAAACCUAUAUUCUGUGGGCACCGCUUAGACAUCCAGGCAUUGUGUGAUGACAGUCUGCUAUGUAUCUCAUCACCAAGGUGAGCAGGGAAGGAACCAGAGCAUAUUAUAGUGUCUGACAUCGUACUUGCAAUUUCACACACCCAUAGCUGCGGGAACAUAUUUACAAAAUGUAAUAAAAUUCAAGCCAUGUUACCUGAAUCAGCUGUUGGCAGGAGGUGCUGCAGCACCCUCAGAACCCCAAGUUUCCGCAGUUAUGCAGACACCUCUUUAAUGUUAUUUUUAGUGAUCUCCCACUGGCGAGGAAUAAAAAUCUGACAUUGAAUGCAUAGUUCGUAAUUUAGAUAUAUUCUAAAGAUGGAAAAAGUUGCACUAAACAUGUGGCCAGCAGAUGGAAAGUUACACUAAAUUUUUGGCAAGCAGUGCAAGUGACAAUAACAAAAGAAGAAGCCAUGACUCACCGUGUUUGUUGAAUGAUUUUGACUUACGACAGUUGUUUGUCAUUUUAGCUUUCAAAGCGGUGCUCGUGAGCACUCCCUUUGCAGCUGUAAUGCACACUUCUGUCGAACCCGCACUGAGGCAAGCUCCACAGCAGACUUCUACCCGACAGUCAAAACGCCAUUACGCCACAAAAGUGUGCACUCAGAGGAAGGCCGCAAAGUUUUAGGCUGCAAUUUGAGACAGGGCCAUUGGUGGUUUUAAAUGAAUCAAAAGUCACUGAAAAUAGAACUCAUUCAUUUAAUCAGAAUGCAUGGAUACUUUUGAAUUGACAUUGAUGGAGAAAGAUGAUUUGAAAUUACAAUAGCAGAAGCAUUUACUGUAAACUACACAUUUCCAUAAAAAGCAGCACAAGCCAUGAGGAAUGGCAGUGCAGAAAUAAUAAAGGGAGACUGAAAGAGAAACCAACAAAGGAUAUUCUCUGCAGCCAGCAGUUCAUAAAAAGAUUUGGUGACCUCAGGUCUGGCAAAUAGACUCUCUGCAUAGUCAAAUGAAGCCAUACUUGUUAUAGAGCAAAUAAACGCCAAGUCUGAUUCAUUAAAGUGAGCAGAGCUACAGUAAUUCAAAGCUUAAUACCGCAGCUGGCAGGAGAGCGGCUGUCAGAGCCUCCGAGAUAUUCUUCAUCUCCUUUCUUCUCGCUGCACAGCACAUAAACAAUGCGCCUCAAACAGCAACCUCGUCAUCCACCCACCAUCCAGCGCUUGUUUAAACAGCCCUGCUAAGUUGCUGCAGUGAUGAAAUAUAAUGGUGUUGUAUCGGACACUAUUUUAUUGUCCAAAAACUCAUAAGUUGCCUACUUGUGACUUUGUUUAUGUCCUUCUUUAAUACCAGCCGGGUCGUAGUCAGGACAAUGUCUGCUAAUCUGACAUUUAAAGGGCACUGGGUUCAGUAAAGUUAAGCUCAAUCGAUAGCAAUUUCUGGCAACCUUUCCUGUGCAAAGUUAAAUCCAGUUUUACUCAUUUGUUGAAACGCAAUGCCAUAAACCUAAAAAGACUGUUGAAAAAAUGUUAAUUUAAAAAGCUUUACAUCUCAAAUAAGUUUUAUCUGACAUAAAAAUAAAUUUAAUAUAAAAAUAUUUAUUAAUAAUAUUUAUUAAAUAAUUAUUUUUAUAUUUAUUUAUUUGAAUGUAUUUGAUUUGAUGAUUUAUUGAAACUAGAAUAUUCCUUUAAAAUCCCAGCCAAAUAUUUGCAUAUAAGCUUUAAUUAAACAGUAAAUGAUUUUUGUAGAAUCAAAACAUAAACCAGGAGCUUUUUAUGAGCAUUAUGCAACUGUAUUGUGGCUCAAACACUUCUACUGUUAUCAGACAUGUGGUAACUAUUCCCAAGCACAAAUAAGAAUUUUUCUGAAAUCUCAUGCUGCAAACUCACUAUACAUGAAAUGUAUACAUUUAGCUAAUGAAACAAAACAGAUUUGUUCUUUAAUAAGAUCUGACACUUAAUUUUCUUUCUUCCUCAAUUUUCGAAUUACCAAAGGAUUCAUGGCUAUGGCCGAUGCCUGUGUGGCGAAAUAUGAGACCAAUCAAGGGCCGAGACGGUUCUGGAGACUUCGUUAAUGUGCAAGGUCAGGCAUUCUGCCGGUCAGUAGCGAGGACAAUAGCACUCUCUUGUCUGGUAUGUGUUGUAGAAUCUGCAGGCUCAGUGUCUGCUGUGUCCACAACCCACAAUCCCCUGCUGUGGGGCUGCAGUCCCAGGCUCUGCCACCCAGGGAAAGGGGAUUUGCCACUUUGUGCAGAAGCCCAUCAGUGCUCUUCUCCAGUGGGCUCUGGUUACACUGUCUCAACGUCAUCUGAUAUCAGCUGCACAAAGCCAGUGGGGUCCUCCGGCUGCUGAGAUGACUCAUGUAUGAAUGGAGUUACCAUUGCUUAAUGCAUUAGCUAUUAUGAAUUAACAAUGAUUUACGGCAUGUAUCAGUCAAGGUUAAUGUGAA